UUUGACUCUUUUCUUUUAUGAACCUCUUUAAUUUUCAUCUUUUCAUUACUGUUCCAGCUAGUGCUUCCUGCAGUAUAUUGAAAAUGUGUGGAACUACAGAGGAGUGUAGCUACCAUCCUUCAUUAAAGAAGCCUCUCUUCACUGAAAACGGAGACCAUCAGAGAAAAUUAUAGCUGGAAACUAUAGACAUCAACAGACUAUAGGGAUCUUAUCCCUGAUGAUUAAAUCUACAUCUGUAACUCAGACAACAUUGUAAGAGAGAUUUUAAGAGCCAAAAUACCAGAAAGUCUGCUGUGAAAAGUGUUUCCAAGAUAUGCCUAAAUAAACAAGACUGGAAAAUUA